rnacentral:lncRNA from 1 species
UUAAAAGCAAGCACCUACCACCGAUUUUCAGAAUAUAAAUUAGUAUGUGUAUAGUAAUGAAAUGCAUAAUGGAUUCUAAGAGGUGCUCGCUUAUCUUUCUACUUCUUUGUGUGUUGUUGAGUUUUUCUGCCAAAAUAAUGGCGAGGAACAUUGCAGGUGCUUCUGAACACUGUGCAGGUAAGUUUAGUACACCCUCGGUUACGCAUAUUCGUUUUAAAUAUGUAAGAUAUUAAAUAAUUUGAGACUCUGUUGUAAUAUUAAAAUUUGGAUCUUCAAGACCUUCUAUAUAAAAAUAUUGUAUUAUGUUCCUAAUAAGGCAAAACAUUUAAUAAUUUAUAAAUAUUAAUAAUAUAUAACUAAUAUUUUAUAGUUCUCAAAAUUUUGGAGUCUUGUACGGUGAUUAGAGCUCACGUGAGACGUUGAAAGAGUUAAAAAAAUUUAUAGUUAAAAAAUUCUAAAAAAGAAAAUCUAAUACACUAAAAAACUCUAAAAUUUGUGGACUUAGUGGGACCUAUGGACCCACUUUUUAAAAAUAAAAGUUUGAUAUUUUUACAAGAAUAAAUUUUGAUAAAUUUUCUUUUUUUACCGAGAAAUUUUUUUUUAAUUGUUUUUCUUAAAAUUUUCUGGUAAAAAAUAUUCAACUUUUUCCAAUAAAAAAUAUUCAAUUUUUUCCAAUAAAAAAUAAUUUACAAUUUGUUACUCGAAAUUUUUUUAAUUCGAGAAAAAAAAUCGAUUUAUUUUGAAUUUUUUUUUUUUAAAUUUUCUCAAAAUUUUUUGAAAAAAAAAAGUUUUAAAUUUUUUUUAGUAAAAAAAAAAUUGAAAAUUUUUCAAGAGAAUAAACCUUAAAAUUAACAAAAUAUUAAACUUAUAGCCCUAUAAACCCCUCUUAUAAGUUCAAAAAAAUAAUGCGCUUUAAAAUAUUUUUUUUAAUAGGGGUCUAUAUUAAAAGUUUAGUAAGAUUUUUUUAAAAAAGACUUUGAAAUUUGGGACUUUAUUAACGUCUCUAAUGCUGAUCCACACAGAUUAUAGGAGGAUCCUAGAUCUGUUUUUAUAUAACAACGUGAUAUGGAACUGUUGUGUAAGAUAUUUAGACUGUUUUUUUGUUUAUUAAUAUAAUUUUUAAAGGUUACUAUAAACAAAAGUAUUGUACAUAUUAACUAAUAACUGUUAUUUUGCAGCUUCAAAUGAAAUGGAUACGACUAAGAGACUACUUGCCCAAGAAAAUCAACGAUCUCCAUGUAAGAGGGGAAGAGUGACUUUUGAUGUAACAGGGAGCGAUCGCAAGAACGAGCCUAAAGAUGAUCCACGUUGCCAUAACUUUUUAUGAUAUGAGACUAGUGUUGCAAUUGUUUUAGUGUGGAUGGGCCAAGCCAUUUUCUUUUUUUGUUGAUUAAAGUAAGGACCAAACAAACAUCAUUUUAUAGUAACAAAUAUAUGUUUUAACAAAUAUGUUUAUUAAUUAACAAAAAAAUUGUCUCUAAAUUAAAUAAUGUAUGAUUUUAUAGUAGAAAGGAAUAUAAUUUUUAUUUUUAUGUGUUUUUGGUGAUUUCAAUUUUAAUC